rnacentral:tRNA from 1 species
GGGAAUAUCGCCUAAUGGAAGGGCAUCGAUCUUCUAAAUCGAUCUGUGUAGGUUCGAGUCCUACUAUUCCUGCCA